rnacentral:tRNA from 3 species
AGGGCGGUAGCUCAGUGGUCAGAGCAAGGGACUCAUAAUCCCCGGGUCGUGGGUUCGAUCCCCACCCGCCCUA